rnacentral:lncRNA from 1 species
CAAAAAGCAAAAGCGGAAUGGACAAUUUUUGAUUUCUAUAAAUAGCAAAACUCUUUUUGAUUUCAGAAGAAGUAGGACAGUGCUAUUUGCUUAAUUGGACUAAGUCCUGACUGCUGAAAUUCAUGUGAAAUUCUGUUUAGUAGUUUAGCCUGCUGGGUCCGAAGCUGGAAAGAGAUAUUACUUUCCAUCUAGUGAAACAAGAGCGUUACUCAUUCUCCUUAUAAUCUCUUUGAAGCAUCUGUGCUUGAGGCAGAAGCUAAGGUCUCAAAUUGAGGCAUUUUAACACACAGUGUCAACGAUGUUGUGCCUAGCACUGUGCUGAGCCAAAUAAUUGCAUCACUGUGCCAUGUUUCUGCUUACCUAAUGCACUCUGAUGCAAGAGAAAGUACCUGGGAAUUGCUUGGCAUGUUUGACAAGGGUGAACGAGGGGGGGAGGAGGAGAGGAUUUCCUGUCUUCUGGCAUCCUCUAAAGGUUGGUAUUUGGAAGGAUAAGCUCUUCAGAAGAGAUGCUGCUGGUAUUUCUUCCCUAGGAAGCAUCCCCCAAGGGCUCCAUGGGACCGCAGAACAACUCAGGAUGAAGGAGACCUUGGGCUUAGCACCUUGUCCAUCCUCCGGAUAAUCCUUCACCAAAAUGCCACGUAGGAGUCCCACCACUGCUGUCUGUUCUUUUCACUGUACAGAGAGUGGUGGGAUCAGGACAUUGCAGUAGAAUGUUUGUACGGUUUUACUACUGAAGGAGAAAAAAAGAAGUCUGGCUGGCACUCUUACACGCCAGGACAGAUCAGGCAUGACCCAGUGCUCCAAGGAGUCAUUUCUUUCCUCCUCAAGGCAACUGCACAGCACAUCUUUCUGGAAGGUCUACAGAUAAUCAGCCCUCCCUGUUACCCACUAUGAACGAUUCCAUAUUCUCUAUGUGUACAUUUAAUACAUCCCUUUAAAUUGAUGCAGA